UACGUAGGGGGCAAGCGUUGUCCGGAUUCAUUGGGCGUAAAGAGCGUGUAGGCGGCCAGGUAGGUCGGUUGUGAAAACUGGAGGCUCAACCUUCAGACGUCGACCGAAACCAUCUGGCUAGAGUCCGGGAGAGGAGAGUGGAAUUCCCGGUGUAGCGGUGGAAUGCGUAGAGGAUCGGGAAGAACAUCGGUGGCGAAGGCGGCCAGCUGGGCCAUUGCUGACGCUGAUGCGCGACAGCGUGGGGAGCAAACAGG
rnacentral:rRNA from 1 species